UACGAAGGGGGCUAGCGUUGCUCGGAAUCACUGGGCGUAAAGCGCACGUAGGCGGAUUGCUAAGUCAGGGGUGAAAUCCUGGAGCUCAACUCCAGAACUGCCUUUGAUACUGGCGAUCUUGAGUCCGGGAGAGGUGAGUGGAACUGCGAGUGUAGAGGUGAAAUUCGUAGAUAUUCGCAAGAACACCAGUGGCGAAGGCGGCUCACUGGCCCGGUACUGACGCUGAGGCACGAAGGCGUGGGGAGCGAACGGG
rnacentral:rRNA from 1 species